rnacentral:rRNA from 1 species
AUUGAACGCUGGCGGCAGGCCUAACACAUGCAAGUCGAGCGGUAGCACAGGAGAGCUUGCUCUCUGGGUGACGAGCGGCGGACGGGUGAGUAAUGUCUGGGAAACUGCCUGAUGGAGGGGGAUAACUACUGGAAACGGUAGCUAAUACCGCAUAACGUCGCAAGACCAAAGAAGGGGACCUUCGGGCCUCUUGCCAUCAGAUGUGCCCAGAUGGGAUUAGCUAGUAGGUGGGGUAACGGCUCACCUAGGCGACGAUCCCUAGCUGGUCUGAGGGGAUGACCAGCCACACUGGAACUGAGACACGGUCCAGACUCCUACGGGAGGCAGCAGUGGGGAAUAUUGCACAAUGGGCGCAAGCCUGAUGCAGCCAUGCCGCGUGUAUGAAGAAGGCCUUCGGGUUGUAAAGUACUUUCAGCGGGGAGGAAGGUGUUGAGGUUAAUAACCUCAGCAAUUGACGUUACCCGCAGAAGAAGCACCGGCUAACUCCGUGCCAGCCGCCGCCGUAA